GGCGGGGUAGAGGAGCUUGGUAGCUGGCAAGGCUCAUAACAAUCUUGAGGUCACGGGUUCAAAUCCCGUCCACGCAA
rnacentral:tRNA from 1 species